UGAAUAGGCAGGGCACAGAUGGAUUUUUAGGCCAGUGAAACUACUUUGUAUGACACUACAAUGGUGGAUACAGGUUAUUAUAUGUUUGUCCAAAUCCAUAGAAUGUA